rnacentral:lncRNA from 1 species
UUUAAUAAAAAAAAUGAACUUAAUUUUGUUUUAGUUGUAAUGAAAAUAAUAAAAAUAUUCCUAUUAUUUUUUUAAAAAACCAAAGGUAUCCUCCACGCGCAACUGCGGAGACUAAUCCACUCGAGGUAACUGUGAUCCAUUUAAGGGGUUUGACCUCUCCAACAAAUGUUUCUCCAUACGCACCGACCGGGGAUCAAACCCAGGACCAAAUAGUUAAGGGACCCAAAUAUCCACCACUUGUGUCACACUAUGUUGGUAAAAUAUUCCUAUUCUAAUUCACAUUUUAGAGUGUGAACCAUAUCCAGACCAGAAUGUAGGAAAAAAAUGCAUCAUCCCCGCCUAUUGACAUUGGUCAUAUACACUAACCAUUUUACAUCAAAAUAUCAAAAAGUGAUUAUUAGUAAAAAAAAAAUGAUAUACAAUUUAACUAAUUGUGUUAGAUCUACUAUGUCAGCCACACUACUAUCAUCUUCAACCUUCACAACAUCACCGUAUUUCUCAAUAUCUAUAACAUCUUCUCUUGUUGAGAUGUGACAAAAUCUUCAAUUAUAUCACAUACCUGAGCACAAAUGAGAGCAUU